rnacentral:rRNA from 1 species
AACGAACGCUGGCGGCAUGCCUAACACAUGCAAGUCGAACGAGACCUUCGGGUCUAGUGGCGCACGGGUGCGUAACGCGUGGGAACCUGCCCUUAGGUUCGGAAUAACUCCCCGAAAGGGGUGCUAAUACCGGAUAAUGUCUUCGGACCAAAGAUUUAUCGCCUUUGGAUGGGCCCGCGUUGGAUUAGCUAGUUGGUAGGGUAAAAGCCUACCAAGGCGACGAUCCAUAGCUGGUCUGAGAGGAUGAUCAGCCACACUGGGACUGAGACACGGCCCAGACCCCCACGGGGGGCAGCGGGGGGGAAUAUGGGAAAGGGGGCGAAAGCCUGAACCAGCAAGGCCGGGUGGUGGAUGAAGGCCUUGGGGUUGUAAAGCUUUUUUACCCGGGAUGAAAAUGACAGUACCGGGAAAAAAAGCCCCGGCAAACUCCGU